UACGAAGGGGGCUAGCGUUGCUCGGAAUCACUGGGCGUAAAGGGCGCGUAGGCGGCCAUUCAAGUCGGAGGUGAAAGCCCAGGGCUCAACCCUGGAAUUGCCUUCGAUACUGUCUGGCUAGAGACCGGAAGAGGUAAGUGGAACUGCGAGUGUAGAGGUGAAAUUCGUAGAUAUUCGCAAGAACACCAGUGGCGAAGGCGGCUCACUGGACCGGCAUUGACGCUGAUGUGCGAAAGCGUGGGGAGCAAACAGG
rnacentral:rRNA from 1 species